GUUACAGCAGCCGCGGUAAAACGUAGGAGGCAAGCGUUAUCCGAAUUUACUGGGCGUAAAGCGCGUGCAGGCGGCAGGGGAAGUUGGAUGUGAAAGCUCCCGGCUCAACUGGGAGAGGACGUCCAAGACUCCUCAGCUGGAGGGCGGUAGAGGGAGGUGGAAUUCCCGGUGUAGUGGUGAAAUGCGUAGAUAUCGGGAGGAACACCAGAGGCGAAGGCGGCCUCCUGGACCGUACCUGACGCUCAGACGCGAAAGCUAGGGGAGCGAACGGGAUUAGAUACCCUCGUAGUCC
rnacentral:rRNA from 1 species